rnacentral:lncRNA from 1 species
AUGUUGUUGGGGCUUUCUAAUGUAUUUUGGUGAUAAUUGACCAUGGUGAUUGACUUUUUUGCAGUUUAUAAUGGAAGAUGAUAUGAUGAAGAAUUAAUAGGAAAGGAAAAAGUGAUGGAAAUGAUUAUGGAAUUGGGUUCUUUAGGACACCAAGGAACCCUUUAACGACUAUGUCUUAUGAUCUGUCCCCUACCACAUCAUGCUGCCUCUACAACAUGCCCUACCAUCUUCACUUUUUAAUGUCAUUUCAAUUAAAAUCAUCUAUCAAUGC